GUACACAAAAAUGCACAUACUGUGAGCUCGAUGAGUAGGGCGGGACACGUGGUAUCCUGUCUGAAUAUGGGGGGACCAUCCUCCAAGGCUAAAUACUCCUGACUGACCGAUAGUGAACCAGUACCGUGAGGGAAAGGCGAAAAGAACCCCGGCGAGGGGAGUGAAAAAGAACCUGAAACCGUGUACGUACAAGCAGUGGGAGCCUCUUAAUGGGGUGACUGCGUACCUUUUGUAUAAUGGGUCAGCGACUUAUAUUCUGUAGCAAGGUUAACCGAAUAGGGGAGCCGAAGGGAAACCGAGUCUUAACUGGGCGUUAAGUUGCAGGGUAUAGACCCGAAACCCGGUGAUCUAGCCAUGGGCAGGUUGAAGGUUGGGUAACACUAACUGGAGGACCGAACCGACUAAUGUUGAAAAAUUAGCGGAUGACUUGUGGCUGGGGGUGAAAGGCCAAUCAAACCGGGAGAUAGCUGGUUCUCCCCGAAAGCUAUUUAGGUAGCGCCUCGUGAAUUCAUCUCCGGGGGUAGAGCACUGUUUCGGCAAGGGGGUCAUCCCGACUUACCAACCCGAUGCAAACUGCGAAUACCGGAGAAUGUUAUCACGGGAGACACACGGCGGGUGCUAACGUCCGUCGUGAAGAGGGAAACAACCCAGACCGCCAGCUAAGGUCCCAAAGUCAUGGUUAAGUGGGAAACGAUGUGGGAAGGCCCAGACAGCCAGGAUGUUGGCUUAGAAGCAGCCAUCAUUUAAAGAAAGCGUAAUAGCUCACUGGUCGAGUCGGCCUGCGCGGAAGAUGUAACGGGGCUAAACCAUGCACCGAAGCUGCGGCAGCGACACUAUGUGUUGUUGGGUAGGGGAGCGUUCUGUAAGCCUGUGAAGGUGUACUGUGAGGUAUGCUGGAGGUAUCAGAAGUGCGAAUGCUG
rnacentral:rRNA from 1 species